rnacentral:rRNA from 1 species
UACGAAGGGGGCUAGCGUUGCUCGGAAUUACUGGGCGUAAAGCGCACGUAGGCGGCCCGGUCAGCGUGCGGUGAAAGCUCGGGGCUCAACCCCGAGUCGGCCGUGCGAACUGCUGGGCUGGAGCACUGUAGAGGCAGGCGGAAUUCCGGGUGUAGCGGUGGAAUGCGUAGAGAUCCGGAAGAACACCGGUGGCGAAGGCGGCCUGCUGGGCAGUGGCUGACACUGAGGCGCGACAGCGUGGGGAGCAAACAGG